rnacentral:lncRNA from 1 species
CUGGCACUGAAACUGAACGCAUACCCAUCCUCGGAUCCAGGAAUCCAUCUCACAAGGCACUGGAGGCUAGUAAAAACAGUCCGGAGGACAGAAGGACCAGGCCGAAGAUGGAGAUGAUGGAACCAUGGGAAUUGAAGCUGUAAGCCACAGCGGUGACCACAAUCCCAGUGAUGAAGACCACCACGGCAAAGGGGAUGAUGCAGCGGUAGCAGGAGAGUUCGGCACCCCCGGUGGCGGCCAUCAGCUGAACCUCGCUGACCAAGGGUCCCGUGGUGACCACAACUUCCCUCUUGGGGUUUUUCUCCAUUGUCACAGGUGUGGGAGAUUUUGGAGCUCCCAGGUUCUCUUUUGUGGAUUCUUCGGUCAUUUUUUUUUCUUCUGUGGGAUUUUUCUUAUCUCGCUUCACAGGCUAGAUUUGGAAAGCCUGGUCAGGAUGCAAGCUGUGAAGAAGAAGGUGGGAGACAUCAGCUAAGAUGGCAGCACCAGCCCUGCAAAUGGUAGCA